rnacentral:rRNA from 1 species
GACGAACGCUGGCGGCGUGCUUAACACAUGCAAGUCGAACGGAGUGGCGAACGGGGGAGUAACACGUGGGUGACCUGCCCUGCACUUGGGGAUAAGCAUGGGAAAAUGGGUCUAAUACCGGAUAGUGUGGGAUGGGCCCGCGGCCUAUGAGCUUGUUGGGGGGGUAAUGGCCUACCAAGGCGGCGACGGGUAGCCGGCCUGAGAGGGUGGACGGCCACAUUGGGCCUGCGACACGGCCCAGACUCCUACGGUGGGCAGCAGGGGGGAAUAUUGCACAAUGGGCGGAAGCCUGAUGCAGCGACGCCGCGUUUGGGAUGACGGCCUUCGGGUUGUAAACUCCUUUCACCAUCGACGCGGUAGAUGGAGAAGAAGCACCGGCUAACUCCGUGCCAGCAGCCGCGGUAAUAC